AAAUUGAAGAGUUUGAUCAUGGCUCAGAUUGAACGCUGGCGGCAGGCCUAACACAUGCAAGUCGAGCGGUAGCACAGAGAGCUUGCUCUCGGGUGACGAGCGGCGGACGGGUGAGUAAUGUCUGGGAAACUGCCUGAUGGAGGGGGAUAACUACUGGAAACGGUAGCUAAUACCGCAUAACGUCGCAAGACCAAAGUGGGGGACCUUCGGGCCUCAUGCCAUCAGAUGUGCCCAGAUGGGAUUAGCUUGUAGGUGGGGUAACGGCUCACCUAGGCGACGAUCCCUAGCUGGUCUGAGAGGAUGACCAGCCACACUGGAACUGAGACACGGUCCAGACUCCUACGGGAGGCAGCAGUGGGGAAUAUUGCACAAUGGGCGCAAGCCUGAUGCAGCCAUGCCGCGUGUGUGAAGAAGGCCUUCGGGUUGUAAAGCACUUUCAGCGGGGAGGAAGGCGUUAAGGUUAAUAACCUUGGCGAUUGACGUUACCCGCAGAAGAAGCACCGGCUAACUCCGUGCCAGCAGCCGCGGUAAUACGGAGGGUGCAAGCGUUAAUCGGAAUUACUGGGCGUAAAGCGCACGCAGGCGGUCUGUCAAGUCGGAUGUGAAAUCCCCGGGCUCAACCUGGGAACUGCAUUCGAAACUGGCAGGCUAGAGUCUUGUAGAGGGGGGUAGAAUUCCAGGUGUAGCGGUGAAAUGCGUAGAGAUCUGGAGGAAUACCGGUGGCGAAGGCGGCCCCCUGGACAAAGACUGACGCUCAGGUGCGAAAGCGUGGGGAGCAAACAGGAUUAGAUACCCUGGUAGUCCACGCCGUAAACGAUGUCGAUUUGGAGGUUGUGCCCUUGAGGCGUGGCUUCCGGAGCUAACGCGUUAAAUCGACCGCCUGGGGAGUACGGCCGCAAGGUUAAAACUCAAAUGAAUUGACGGGGGCCCGCACAAGCGGUGGAGCAUGUGGUUUAAUUCGAUGCAACGCGAAGAACCUUACCUGGUCUUGACAUCCACAGAACUUUCCAGAGAUGGAUUGGUGCCUUCGGGAACUGUGAGACAGGUGCUGCAUGGCUGUCGUCAGCUCGUGUUGUGAAAUGUUGGGUUAAGUCCCGCAACGAGCGCAACCCUUAUCCUUUGUUGCCAGCGGUUCGGCCGGGAACUCAAAGGAGACUGCCAGUGAUAAACUGGAGGAAGGUGGGGAUGACGUCAAGUCAUCAUGGCCCUUACGACCAGGGCUACACACGUGCUACAAUGGCAUAUACAAAGAGAAGCGACCUCGCGAGAGCAAGCGGACCUCAUAAAGUAUGUCGUAGUCCGGAUUGGAGUCUGCAACUCGACUCCAUGAAGUCGGAAUCGCUAGUAAUCGUAGAUCAGAAUGCUACGGUGAAUACGUUCCCGGGCCUUGUACACACCGCCCGUCACACCAUGGGAGUGGGUUGCAAAAGAAGUAGGUAGCUUAACCUUCGGGAGGGCGCUUACCACUUUGUGAUUCAUGACUGGGGUGAAGUCGUAACAAGGUAACCGUAGGGGAACCUGCGGUUGGAUCACCUCCUUA
rnacentral:rRNA from 1 species